rnacentral:sRNA from 1 species
UUCUUAGUAUGAAUGUAAUUUAUGCCAAAGAAAUUUUAGAAAUUAUGUUUCUCAUGUCAAAAAAUAUUAAAUGUUUACAUGCAUAUUGCAGGAAAUCUGUAGACACUGUCUAUACUCUACUUGAAGUUAAUCAUUUUUAGGGAGGAGGUAUACUUUUGUGAUUCUGUAAAUGUUUUAUUUCCUAUUCAAUUAGAACUGCAAAAAAUUCAUUAUUAUGCCUUUUUAUGAACAAAACACAUCAUUCUACAUUUUUCAGUUAAUCACUUGUUCAUAUUCUACAAGAGUGUCAAUAUCUAAUGUUUCUGCUACUGCGCAUACAGGAUCAUAGACUGAAUUAUACAUGUAGGUUUUUUUUGGUAAUUCUAUUUGAUGUAAUCAGAAAAUGAAGUGUUGCAUUAUCCUUAAUAAAUAAAUUGUCUUGAUAUGAUCAGACUAGACAUGUCAACCAACAUACCUAGUAAAUUUUUGUGUGUUACCUUUUCCCCUUGUGAGCCAGUAUUGGUCAGUUAAUAAGGUUUUAUUUUCCUGUGAUAAUGAAGUGCAAUGUUUUAAUUUGUAAGAAAUUUUCAAAAUAUAAUUUGGUUGUAUUCAUUCCAAUUUAAAAAUAAAAUUGUUCAAAGCUCUGAC